AGCAUCUGACCCUGCAGUUUCUAAUUUCUCUCAUAACCUACUGAUAAGUAAGUUCAUAAUCUAGUACAGGGGAAAAUUUUAGUUUCAUUUAUUUAUUUAAUAAAUGCAGGUGUGAAACUCAAGGAAGGCUGUAAUAUAAAUCGUAGCUUAUUUGUUUUGUGACAAGUGAUCAAGAAACUUAGUGAUGGACAAGAUGGUGCUUUCAUAAAUUAUCGAGACAGCAAAUUAACACGAAUUCUCCAGAAUUCCUUGGGAGGAAAUGCAAAAACAUGUAUUAUCUGCACAAUUACUCCAGUGUCUUUGAAUGAAACCCUGACUACUCUUCAAUUUUCCAGAACUGCUCAGUCUAUGAAGAAUACCCCUUAUGUUAAUGAGGUAUCAAAUGAUGAAGCUCUCCUGGAAAGAUAUAGAAAAGAAAUAAUUGAUCUUAAAAAACAGUUA